CUGGCGGCGUGCCUAAUACAUGCAAGUCGAACGGUCUUUCUAUGGAAGCUUGCUUCCACUGAGAAGAUAGUGGCGAACGGGUGAGUAACACGUGGGUAACCUGCCCAUAAGAGGGGGAUAACAUCCGGAAACGGGUGCUAAUACCGCAUAGUUUUCUUGAUCGCAUGAUUGAGAAAGGAAAGACGGCCUUUGUGCUGUCGCUUAUGGAUGGACCCGCGGCGUAUUAGUUAGUUGGUGAGGUAACGGCUCACCAAGACGAUGAUACGUAGCCGACCUGAGAGGGUGAUCGGCCACAUUGGGACUGAGACACGGCCCAAACUCCUACGGGAGGCAGCAGUAGGGAAUCUUCCGCAAUGGACGAAAGUCUGACGGAGCAACGCCGCGUGAGUGAAGAAAAGGUUUUCGGAUCGUAAAACUCUGUUGUCAGAGAAGAACAAGUUGGAGAGUAACUGCUCCAGCCUUGACGGUAUCUGACCAGAAAGCCACGGCUAACUACGUGCCAGCCGCUGC
rnacentral:rRNA from 1 species